rnacentral:rRNA from 1 species
UACGUAGGGUGCAAGCGUUGUCCGGAAUUAUUGGGCGUAAAGAGCUCGUAGGCGGUUUGUCGCGUCUGCUGUGAAAACUCGGGGCUUAACCCUGGGCCUGCAGUGGGUACGGGCAGACUAGAGUGCGGUAGGGGAGACUGGAAUUCCUGGUGUAGCGGUGAAAUGCGCAGAUAUCAGGAGGAACACCGGUGGCGAAGGCGGGUCUCUGGGCCGUAACUGACGCUGAGGAGCGAAAGCGUAGGGAGCGAACAGG